CUAUGUAGUCAAUUGAGUGGUUUCUAAUAUUCGUUUGUCAUAGUUUUGUAUAAAAAUAACAAAUUUUCGGUAAAAUUAUCACUUGAAAAUUUAAGUCCUAACGAUGAAACUGAAUUUUUUACUGUUUGCUGUGCUUGCACUGGUCCUUGGCUCUGUAAUGAGUUUCAACCCAGGAGCAUUUCGUAAGAGAUUAGCAAAUGCUUCGAGUGAAGAUACUCAUAAUCAUAAGGGUCAAUUUCUUGGUGGAACUCUAACUCUGUUUUCGAAGCUUGCAGGAUAAUUAGUAUGGAACCUAAUACCACAAUAUGAUUCAGUUUGCUGCCUUCCUCGAUCAACGUAUUUUUUUUGAGGUUACGUUCCCAGUUUUUAAACUAUUUUUAGCCUACUGAAUCAUCGGAAAUGCCGGAUGGAUAAAUAAAUAUAUUGCUCAUACUUAUGUACUUUAAUUUGAUGUUUUAAUACCCUCAAAUAAAUGUUAUUUUAUUUCAUAUUCAUA